UACGGAGGGGGCUAGCGUUGUUCGGAAUUACUGGGCGUAAAGCGCGCGUAGGCGGCUUUUGUAAGUUAGAGGUGAAAGCCCCGGAGCUUAACUCCGGAACUGCCUUUAAGACUGCAUCGCUAGAAUCGUGGAGAGGUGAGUGGAAAUUCCCGAGUGUAGAGGUGAAAUUCGUAGAUAUUCGGAAGAACACCCAGUGGCGAAGGCGACUCACUGGACACGUAUUGACGCUGAGGUGCGAAAGCGUGGGGAGCAAACAGG
rnacentral:rRNA from 1 species